UCCAGACUCCUACGGGAGGCAGCAGUGGGGAAUAUUGCACAAUGGGGGAAACCCUGAUGCAGCGACGCCGCGUGAGUGAAGAAGUAUUUCGGUAUGUAAAGCUCUAUCAGCAGGGAAGAAAAUGACGGUACCUGAUUAAGAAGCCCCGGCUAACUACGUGCCAGCAGCCGCGGUAAUACGUAGGGGGCAAGCGUUAUCCGGAUUUACUGGGUGUAAAGGGAGCGUAGACGGCAGCACAAGUCUGGAGUGAAAUGCCGGGGCUUAACCCCGGAACUGCUCUGGAAACUGUGCGGCUAGAGUACUGGAGGGGCAGGCGGAAUUCCUAGUGUAGCGGUGAAAUGCGUAGAUAUUAGGCGGAACACCAGUGGCGAAGGCGGCUUUCUGGCUCAUAACUGACGCUGAGGCGCGAAAGCGUGGGGAGCAAACAGGAUUAGAUACCCGUGUAA
rnacentral:rRNA from 1 species